UCCGUAGGUGAACCUGCGGAAGGAUCACUAGUGAUUAAAUCGAGAGUGUCUUCAUUGACCUCUCACCCUUCACAUCCACAUACACCUGUGCACCGUUUGGCUCUUUUAAAAGACGCAAGUCUGCAAAGAGAGUCAUCAAUUUUAUACAUACCCCAGUCUUAUGAAUGUAACAGUUUUAAUAAACAUAAUAAAACUUUUAACAACGGAUCUCUUGGUUCUCGCAUCGAUGAAGAACGCAGCGAAAUGCGAUAAGUAAUGUGAAUUGCAGAAUUCAGUGAAUCAUCGAAUCUUUGAACGCACCUUGCGCUCCUUGGUAUUCCGAGGAGCAUGCCUGUUUGAGUGUCAUGAAACUCUCAACCUUCAACUUUUUUAUUAAGGCUGAAGGCUUGGACUUGAGCGCUGCUGGUUUUCACUAACCGGCUCGCUUGAAAUGAAUUAGCAGAUCCUUUUUGUAAUCGGUUCCACUCGACGUGAUAAGUAUUUCGCCGAGGACAUAUGAAAGUAUGGCCGAGAUAAGAGAAGUCUUUUAGAUCCGCUUCUAAUUCUUAGAUCAAGCUUGCUUGACUAAACCCCAUUUUAUGAUCUGGCCUCAAAUCAGGUAGGACUACCCGCUGAACUUAAGCAUAUCAAUAAGCGGAGGA
rnacentral:rRNA from 2 species